AACUGGUGAGUAACACGUGGGAAACCUGCCCAGAAGCGGGGGAUAACACCUGGAAACAGAUGCUAAUACCGCAUAACAACUUGGACCGCAUGGUCCGAGUUUGAAAGAUGGCUUCGGCUAUCACUUUUGGAUGGUCCCGCGGCGUAUUAGCUAGAUGGUGGGGUAACGGCUCACCAUGGCAAUGAUACGUAGCCGACCUGAGAGGGUAAUCGGCCACAUUGGGACUGAGACACGGCCCAAACUCCUACGGGAGGCAGCAGUAGGGAAUCUUCCACAAUGGACGAAAGUCUGAUGGAGCAACGCCGCGUGAGUGAAGAAGGGUUUCGGCUCGUAAAACUCUGUUGUUAAAGAAGAACAUAUCUGAGAGUAACUGUUCAGGUAUUGACGGUAUUUAACCAGAAAGCCACGGCUAACUACGUGCCAGCAGCCGCGGUAAUACGUAGGUGGCAAGCGUUGUCCGGAUUUAUUGGGCGUAAAGCGAGCGCAGGCGGUUUUUUAAGUCUGAUGUGAAAGCCUUCGGCUCAACCGAAGAAGUGCAUCGGAAACUGGGAAACUUGAGUGCAGAAGAGGACAGUGGAACUCCAUGUGUAGCGGUGAAAUGCGUAGAUAUAUGGAAGAACACCAGUGGCGAAGGCGGCUGUCUGGUCUGUAACUGACGCUGAGGCUCGAAAGUAUGGGUAGCAAACAGGAUUAGAUACCCUGGUAGUCCAUACCGUAAACGAUGAAUGCUAAGUGUUGGAGGGUUUCCGCCCUUCAGUGCUGCAGCUAACGCAUUAAGCAUUCCGCCUGGGGAGUACGGCCGCAAGGCUGAAACUCAAAGGAAUUGACGGGGGCCCGCACAAGCGGUGGAGCAUGUGGUUUAAUUCGAAGCUACGCGAAGAACCUUACCAGGUCUUGACAUACUAUGCAAAUCUAAGAGAUUAGACGUUCCCUUCGGGGACAUGGAUACAGGUGGUGCAUGGUUGUCGUCAGCUCGUGUCGUGAGAUGUUGGGUUAAGUCCCGCAACGAGCGCAACCCUUAUUAUCAGUUGCCAGCAUUAAGUUGGGCACUCUGGUGAGACUGCCGGUGACAAACCGGAGGAAGGUGGGGAUGACGUCAAAUCAUCAUGCCCCUUAUGACCUGGGCUACACACGUGCUACAAUGGAUGGUACAACGAGUUGCGAACUCGCGAGAGUAAGCUAAUCUCUUAAAGCCAUUCUCAGUUCGGAUUGUAGGCUGCAACUCGCCUACAUGAAGUCGGAAUCGCUAGUAAUCGCGGAUCAGCAUGCCGCGGUGAAUACGUUCCCGGGCCUUGUACACACCGCCCGUCAC
rnacentral:rRNA from 2 species